GAUGAAGAACGUAGCGAAAUGCGAUAAGUAAUGUGAAUUGCAGAAUUCAGUGAAUCAUCGAAUCUUUGAACGCACAUUGCGCCCCUUGGUAUUCCGAGGGGCAUGCCUGUUCGAGCGUCAUUACACCACUCAAGCUAUGCUUGGUAUUGGGCGUCGUCCUUAGUUGGGCGCGCCUUAAAGACCUCGGCGAGGCCACUCCGGCUUUAGGCGUAGUAGAAUUUAUUCGAACGUCUGUCAAAGGAGAGGAACUCUGCCGACUGAAACCUUUAUUUUUCUAGGUUGACCUUGGAUCAGGUAGGGAUACCCGCUGAACUUAAGCAUAUCAAUAAGCGGAGGA
rnacentral:misc_RNA from 1 species